CUUAGAUGGAAUGAAGUUGAUAAUAGUGAGACCUUGUUGGUACAAGACUAUGUAACAUAACCUGCGCUUCUCAACAAAGAAUUGCUUUUCUGACUUCUGCACUCAGUACAAGACAAAUCUCUCCUCUGCCUUCUCCUUAUCAGACUACUCAACAUGAAGGCAAUAAGAAUGAAGACCUUUAUGCAUAAUAAUUGACUUCCACUUAAUAAA
rnacentral:lncRNA from 1 species